rnacentral:lncRNA from 1 species
CUUGCAAUUAAAUAAUUAUUAUUUUCUUAAAGUAUUUAACUAUUAAGAAAUUUGAAUUUAAUCCCCAUUUUUAUUUACAUUAGUUCUAUAUUAUUUUUCAAGUUAAAAACUAGUAUAUAUAGAUUCAAUAUAUUAUUACAAUUAAAUAAUAUUUUAACAGUUAAAUCAAUACCACAAUAUUAAUUUUUUUGUUACAACUGAUAAAUUAUGAAGCCGUUUAUAUUUAUAUAGUAUAAUAAAAUUUUAAAAAGUAUAAAAUAUUUUCUAUGCAAUGUACGAAGGGAAAAUCUAGUUCUAAUUAAAUAACACGAAGUAUAUUUUUUUCUCUCUCGCCACAACACAAAGGAGCACGAAGGGAUGAAGCAAGCAAAAGAAAGAGGAAAAAUGUUAGAAUAACAUCAUUAAAAUGUUCUCUUUUAUACACAAAAAGGCUAAUUAUUCUAUUUAAGACAGUUAAAGACUUAAAGUUAGACCACCAUUUAAACAAACUGCAGAUGUGUGUGUGUGUUUAUGGAAUUUGCCGUAUCAUGUGAUUGUGUAUAUAGUAUUUUAUGCGUUUAAUUGAUUCCAAACAUCAAAUUGGAGCAGCCCAAUGGGCCAGUUUGGGGUACCCGAAAAAUAGGAUUGGGCUAAGAAAAUAGAAGCUCAAAAGUAAUUGGGCCUAAAAAGCCCAUCCACGUGGCCCACCGAACCACUCAGAUUUCAAGCUAGAAACUGCAGACGAAUUUUAGUGUUUAGAUAUGAGUUAUAUUUGAUUUGAAGCAAAGAAACAGAGGCAAAGCAGAUUGAUAAUUGAGCAGCACAUGCUAGCCACCCAUCUCAAUCCAUCAAACUUCGAAAGAAAACAAUUAGUUUUGUUGUAAAUUAUUAACGAUCUCCUUAACUCAUGCAAAUCUAUAAAUACAUGCAAAUUUAGACUGUGCUUCUAAAGUGCGAAAAUUCAAGUAAGAGUGUGAAGAGAGAAUACACACAAUAAAACACACCAAAACAAUUGGCCAAAAUGCCCAUUUAUAGCCAGAAAAACUGCCUAGCUAAUUCCUUCUAUAUAUAUAUAUAUAUAUGCAUCUUUUUUUUGUAGGCAUAAGUUUAAUAACAAGAAGAUUGAAAAUCCAAAACGACGACGUACAUUUAUUUUGGUGCGCUACUUUUCCAUCGAAAAUCAUCUAACAAUUUACAAGAUAAAAGAAAAUUAGAAUAUUGGGCGAGUUAGGCCAUGCGCGAUGUCUGAUGUUAGGCCUUGCCCCUUGGAUUGCUACUACCUCAUCAAAUUUGCUUGCUUGUUCCAAACAAACAUACUUGUCAUUCUCUAUUUUUAUGGCAUUUUCUACUUUGACAUUCUCACAUAAAGAACCAAAAAUAUGUUCAUACUUGCCGGGCAGAGCAAUAUGGCCGGAGAAUGCCGUAUUGCCUUGCCAAGGUAUAUGGCAUUCGCCGAUCAUAUUGCUCUGACCGGCUAGUAUGACUACAUCUUUUGUGCUCUAGAGAGCCAAAAUGGAAGAAGUCAUAAUAAGUAAUAGAGAAUGGCAAGCAUGUAUGUUUGGAAUGGU